GAAGACCUGCAUGCCUAUCCGCAGGCCAAUGCUGGCUGCAGAUCAAUAUUGAAUGCUCUUAUGAAAACUCAUAAGACAGUAACAAAAAAAGGAAGCUGAGGAUGCUGUUUUUAAAACAUGUUCCAUUCAAAAAUGGUGGAUUGAAAUUUAAGAAAGGUGUGACGGGUGCGGCUACUGCAGGCAGGGAGGAUU